rnacentral:rRNA from 1 species
UACAGAGGGGGCAAGCGUUGUUCGGAAUUACUGGGCGUAAAGGGCGCGUAGGCGGGAUGGCAAGUCAGUCGUGAAAUCUCUCGGCUCAACCGAGAAACGUCGGCUGAUACUGCCGUUCUUGAGGGAUGCAGAGGAGACUGGAAUUCCCGGUGUAGCGGUGAAAUGUGUAGAGAUCGGGAGGAACACCGGUGGCGAAGGCGGGUCUCUGGGCAUUUCCUGACGCUGAGGCGCGAAAGCGUGGGGAGCAAACGGG